rnacentral:rRNA from 1 species
UCAGGGAAACUUGAGCUAAUACCGGAUACGCCCUUUUGGGGAAAGGUUUACUGCCGAAGGAUCGGCCCGCGUCUGAUUAGCUUGUUGGUGGGGUAACGGCCUACCAAGGCGACGAUCAGUAGCUGGUCUGAGAGGAUGAUCAGCCACACUGGGACUGAGACACGGCCCAGACUCCUACGGGAGGCAGCAGUGGGGAAUAUUGGACAAUGGGCGCAAGCCUGAUCCAGCCAUGCCGCGUGAGUGAUGAAGGCCUUAGGGUUGUAAAGCUCUUUUGUCCGGGACGAUAAUGACGGUACCGGAAGAAUAAGCCCCGGCUAACUUCGUGCCAGCAGCCGCGGUAAUACGAAGGGGGCUAGCGUUGCUCGGAAUCACUGGGCGUAAAGGGUGCGUAGGCGGCCGAUUAAGUCGGGGGUGAAAGCCUGUGGCUCAACCACAGAAUUGCCUUCGAUACUGGUUGGCUUGAGACCGGAAGAGGACAGCGGAACUGCGAGUGUAGAGGUGAAAUUCGUAGAUAUUCGCAAGAACACCAGUGGCGAAGGCGGCUGUCUGGUCCGGUUCUGACGCUGAGGCGCGAAAGCGUG